AAAGAUGCAAAAAUAUUUUUUCAAAGCAAAAAAAAAAAUUUUGAAAGCAAAUAUAAAAUAUUUUUUAUGCAAAUGAUGAAUUUUUAUGCUUGAUACUUUAUAUUUUGUUUGCAAUUCAGAAGAUUUGGAUUGUAAAACUGACUUGCUUACAAUAUGGUGGCACAAACAUCACUCCAUACAAUCACUUAUUUUAAAAUAAAUAAACAUAAAUAAUGUGAUCAUUAAAUAAUAAAACAUAAAUCAGUAAAAGUAAAAAAAAUAUUUAUCAAUGCAGUAAAAUAGCAUAAAACAAUUAAAAUAUCAAAUAACUAAAAGCAGAUUAAAAAGGUUGGUUUUUAGCUGUCCCUUAAAAACGUGAACAGUCCAUGCGGUCCUGAUGCUCUCAGGGAGGCUGCUCCACAGGAGAGGUCCAUGGGAACCUCUCCAUCACAUCUCCAAAUGGUUUCUGUCAGUCAUCGGUUUUGUGGUUAGCGUGGACACAUUGUUGGCAGUGAUUCCUGAACAAGUUCAGCCUCAUGUCUGCACACCGCUUCAACCAGGAACACUUGGAGCUUUUCUUCAGCUCUGUCAGAGCAUCAGGUGCCUGGAAUUGGGGCGGGAAUUUCGACACACUGCUUAGCCAGUAACCAACUCAACCUGCCAUCUUUAAGACCUCUAAGACCAGUUACUCCAGCAACAACCCACCAGUCUGACAGCUAAAACUACAUGAUUGAUCGCCGGCAGAGUUUCUGUUCUCUGAGCGUCGACGGCCUUGACUCACUGCUGAACGCCGAUGGCAGAAAUCCAUCUCCGCUGCACACGACGGCGCUGCAGCAAAAGCACACAAACAUGCGCACAAACAUGCGCACAAACAUGCACACAAACAUGCACACAAACAUGCGCACAAACAUGCACACAAACAUGCACACAAACAUGCACACAAACAUGCGCACAAACAUGCACACAAACAUGCACACAAACAUGCACACAAACAUGCACACAAACAUGCGCACAAACAUGCGCACAAACAUGCACACAAACGGACGCUUUGCAGCACAAGAACAGGGCGCAGGUUCCAGAGGAGGUUCUGGUGUCGGGGCGCAGAAGGAUGGACCUGCUGUUGACAAGUUCUUCCACACUUUCCUGAUCACAGAAUUGUCAAACAAAAUAUAAACUGGAGAGUUUUUUUUUGUUCUGAGGGCUGUAAGCUCUCUUGGAUGAUGUUUGACGGUGACGGCGCUCCUUUAAAAACACGAUCCAUUUGGCUUUGCUGCUUUUGGUUUUGCUUCGUUCACAGAAAUCGAGAGAAAAUCCCUGAAAGUCGUGACUUGUUCGGACUCAGCCGAGCUUGACUCGAGUGUCUUGACUGUAUAACAGCACCUGGAGCAGGAUGGCCACGUCAAUCAGGAUCUGGACGGAACCGCACAGCCAGAACUGGACCGGGCUUUGGUUGGUUAUGAACUCCCUGGACGGUGAAAUCCUACAGGCUUGAAUGUAAUAUGAGUCCAUUCUUUUUAUUGGAGCUGACUGAGCCUGGGGAUGCAGCAGGACCAUCAUUCAUCACUGACACAUGCUGUAAGGGUCAGAAGGCGGUGAGGAGGAAGCAGCCAGCAGAGGACGGACAAUCUGCAGAGGACUGCAUUUAUCCACCGGCUGACGCAACCCGACCACCAACGUGAACAGGGUCUCUGAAUGGAAAUGAGACCUCAGUGAGAUCGCAGUGCAUGAUGGGUGAACGUGGAGGGAACGGCAGCCUGAUGAGGACGAGGGCAGCAGUCCUGCAGGAGACCAACUAAAGGACAUCUGAUGAGGACAAAAAGGGUUUAAACUAGAGCAUUAUAUCUACACGUAAAACCGGCUGCAUGUGUGUAGAAAUGUCCACAACAGGAGCCAAACACAACUGCCACAAAGUUUACACAAAAGGCUUUUAGAAAUCACAGGAAAAAUGGCAGAUGUGGAUAAAAAAUGAUGGUUGACCCAUUCAGGCGCUGUGAGGUUUUGGGUUUUCCGGACCGUAGACGGUUGUGGAGAAGAGUAUCCACAUUUAAACCCUUUAACACCGGAGAUGUCCCUGACUGAACCUGAAUAACACUCACUCUGAGAUACAAUAACUCUGAAUAACACUCACUCUGAGAUACAAUAACUCUGAAUAACACUCACUCUGAGAUACAAUAACUCUGAAGGUUUCAUGUGAAUCAGCUGAUUGCCAACAUAAAGUGUUGUAUAGCAGCACAAGGCGGCUUUUUCUGUUUCAGGCUACGUUCAUGUGACGUUUUCAAUGAGAAGUCUUUGUAAACGUGUAUGUAUGCGUUUCAAAGUAAUAAGCUACAAACGUCUUUAGGUUCAUUUUUACACUCAAAACGUCAAUCCAGGUGAAUUUUGACCAAUCACUGACUGACUUUGGUCGGUAUGUGUGGUUGUGUCCCUUUUAAAGUUAAUUGUCACACAACUAGGUGUGUGAAAUUUGCUCUCCACAUUUGACUCUUCCCCUGAGGGAGUGGUGAGCUGCUGACACAGCUGCUCUUAGGAACCAUUUGGUGGUUUCACCCCCCAAUCCAAACCCUUAGUGAGGGUCAAGCAGGGAGUCAUUGGGUACCUGGCUGGAUAGAAGAAUUGGUUGUAUUACAGUAUUAUUAUACUGGUUGUAUUACAGUAUUAUUAUACUGGUUGUAUUACAAUAAAUCAUUUCUUCCACAUGCAAUAAGAUUGUAUAACUCCUCCUCCCUCUGUAACAGAUAACACACCUACUGACUUUUUACAGGACCGAUGUUCAUUACUGUCUCAAUUUGCACACU